rnacentral:rRNA from 1 species
UACAGAGGGUGCAAGCGUUGUCCGGAAUUAUUGGGCGUAAAGAGCUCGUAGGCGGUCUGUUGCGUCCGCUGUGAAAACUCGGGGCUUAACCCCGAGCCUGCAGUGGAUACGGGCAGACUAGAGGUAGGUAGGGGAGAAUGGAAUUCCCGGUGUAGCGGUGAAAUGCGCAGAUAUCGGGAGGAACACCGGUGGCGAAGGCGGUUCUCUGGGCCUUUCCUGACGCUGAGGAGCGAAAGCGUGGGGAGCGAACAGG